rnacentral:rRNA from 1 species
CCCUUAGAUGUUCUGGGCGGCCCGCGCACUACAAUGGCGCUUUCAGCGAGUUCCUAUGUUGAAUUUUCCUGGGUAUUCUUGGAAGCGGCGUCUUGACUUGGGAUAGAUCCUUGUAAUUGUUGGUUUUGAACGAGGAAUUCCUUGUAAUCGCGGUCGAUCAGCUCGCGUUGAAUACGUCCCUGCCCUUUGUACACACCGCCCGUCGCUCCUACCGAUGAAUCGUCCGGUGAAGUUCACAGAGUGGCGGUUCGUGGAGUUGCUCGCGAAGUGAAAUGGACCUCACGAUUUAGAGGAAGGAGAAGUCGUAACA